rnacentral:pre_miRNA from 1 species
UUUUGAUUGUUGCUCAGAAUGUCGUGAUAUUUAAUGGCAUUUGGGCACCAAUCAGAGCC